rnacentral:lncRNA from 1 species
GCAGAGAGGUGUUCAAAACUCUUUGGGCAAUCAGCUAGCUUGCUUCAGUCCUCUGCUUCCUUUUGUAAUCGGCUAGGCUGACUGACAUGUAGCAUACAGAGAAAGGGUCACUACACCAUUCUGCUCAGCAUGCCAGCUUCCUCCCUUACAUGCCUGCACUGAUGCAGCCAGUGAGUACUUCUAAGGACUAUCACAUCUAAUUGUGGAAUACAGAAAUGAAGCUGAGUGCAAGAUGCAUACCUAGCCUGGUGUUUCACUAGAAGCAUGUACUUCAUACCAAAAUUAACUGCUCCUUCAGUCUCAAAAGAGAACGCUGCUUCAUACCAAAGACUGAAUUUCAGAAAACCAGCAUGACCACAGAGAUCAUCGCUGAAAUGAAAGCUGAACAAUGCAUGGCUUUAGAGGAGAGAGAUGAAUGUAACUUAAUUCUGCAGCCCUUAAAUCCUGGAUGCAUCUGCCAAAAGCAGGGAGUUCACUGAAGCCAUUCCACUGAGCCAGAGAAAGGGCUCUUCUUUUAACGGGUAUUUAAUAUUUUGUGAUUUUUUUUAGCAUGCCAAGAAUUCCUGUAUCCUACAAGUUCACUGCAUCCCAAACCUGAGUCAAACACUGAGAGCUAUGAGCACGUUUCCAGGCCGGCCUCUAUAAAUUCAAUGAG